rnacentral:rRNA from 1 species
AUUGAACGCUGGCGGCAUGCCUUACACAUGCAAGUCGAACGGUAACAGGUCUUCGGAUGCUGACGAGUGGCGAACGGGUGAGUAAUACAUCGGAACGUGCCUAGUAGUGGGGGAUAACUACUCGAAAGAGUGGCUAAUACCACAUGUGAUCUACGGAUGAAAGCAGGGGAUCGCAAGACCUUGUGCUACUAGAGCGGCCGAUGGAAGAUUAGGUAGUUGGUGGGAUAAAAGCUUACCAAGCCGACGAUCUGUAGCUGGUCUGAGAGGACGACGACCCACACUGGGACUGAAACACGGCCCAGACUCCUCCGGGGGGAAGCAGUGGGGAAUUUUGUACAAUGGGCGAAAGCCUGAUUCAGCAAUGCGGCGUGAAGGAUGAAGGCCUUCGGGUUGUAAACUGCUUUUGUACGGAACGAAAAGCCCCGGGUUAAUACCCUGGGGUCAUGACGGUACCGUAAGAAUAAGCACCGGCUAACUACGUGCCAGCCGCCGCCGUAA